CAGUCAUCUUUGCAGGUGAUCAGGACAGGUACAGCACAGGCAGUACCUGUGCGAGCUUUCCCCACACCACCACGUCCAUGUGCCUCUACCGUGACCUGGAGGGACCACCUCUAGAGGCCUGUACCAUUCAAGGACACUAUGCCAUGCCACA
rnacentral:sRNA from 14 species